GGAUCCAGAUUUGAUUCUGGCUCAUGAUGAACGCUAGCGGCAGGCUUAACACAUGCAAGUCGAGGGGCAGCGCGGGGCGGCAACGUCCUGGCGGCGACCGGCGGAAGGGUGCGUAACGCGUGAGCGACAUGCCCGUUGCCCGGGGACAACCGGUGGAAACGCCGACUAAUCCCCGAUGGGACGGAGGCCCUCAUGGGUCUCUGUUGAAAGUUACGGCGGCGACGGAUUGGCUCGCGUCCGAUUAGCUUGUUGGCGGGGUAACGGCCCACCAAGGCUACGAUCGGUAGGGGUUCUGAGAGGAAGGUCCCCCACAAUGGAACUGAGACACGGUCCAUACUCCUACGGGAGGCAGCAGUGAGGAAUAUUGGUCAAUGGGCGGAAGCCUGAACCAGCCAUGCCGCGUGCGGGAAGGAGGCCCUAUGGGCUGUGAACCGCUUUUGCCUGGGGGCAAUAAGGGCGUCGCGCACGUCCGAUGAGAGUACCAGGGGAAUAAGCAUCGGCUAACUCCGUGCCAGCAGCCGCGGUAAUACGGGGGAUGCGAGCGUUAUCCGGAUUCAUUGGGUUUAAAGGGUGCGUAGGCUGUGCGUCAAGUCAGGGGUGAAAUUCCGGGGCUCAACUCCGGGGCUGCCCUUGAUACUGUCGCGCUGGAGUGC
rnacentral:rRNA from 1 species